rnacentral:rRNA from 1 species
UUUCCAUAAUUUGUCCGUGUCAACAAACAAUUAAAAAUACCUUGACUUUUUCGGAACAGGUCCGAGUCAAAUAGCAAUAGUUUGAAGGACUUCGUUUUCCAUUAAACUAUUUCGGAAACCUAA